UAACUGGAUUCUGAAAGCUAAAG
rnacentral:snRNA from 1 species